rnacentral:rRNA from 1 species
UACAGAGGGUGCGAGCGUUAAUCGGAAUUACUGGGCGUAAAGGGCGCGUAGGCGGCCUUCUAAGUCGGACGUGAAAGCCCCAGGCUUAACCUGGGAACUGCGUCCGAUACUGGGAGGCUUGGAUUCGGGAGAGGGAUGUGGAAUUCCAGGUGUAGCGGUGAAAUGCGUAGAUAUCUGGAGGAACACCGGUGGCGAAGGCGGCAUCCUGGACCGAGAUCGACGCUGAGGCGCGAAAGCUAGGGGAGCAAACGGG